rnacentral:rRNA from 1 species
AUUGAACGCUGGCGGCAUGCCUUACACAUGCAAGUCGAACGGCAGCACGGGAGCAAUCCUGGUGGCGAGUGGCGAACGGGUGAGUAAAGUAUCGGAACGUGCCCAGUCGUGGGGGAUAACGUAGCGAGAGUUACGCUAAUACCGCAUACGAUCUAUGGAUGAAAGCGGGGGAUCGCAAGACCUCGCGCGAUUGGAGCGGCCGAUAUCAGAUUAGGUAGUUGGUGGGGUAAAGGCUCACCAAGCCGACGAUCUGUAGCUGGUUUGAGAGGACGACCAGCCACACUGGGACUGAUACACGGCCCAAACUCCUACGGGAGGCAGCAGUGGGGAAUGUUGGACAAUGGGCGAAAGCCUGAUCCAGCCAUGCCGCGUGCAGGAUGAAGGCCUUCGGGUUGUAAACUGCUUUUGUACGGAACGAAAAGGUUUGGCCUAAUAAGCUGAGCUCAUGACGGUACCGUAAGAAUAAGCACCGGCUAACUACGUGCCAGCCGCCGCAGUAA